rnacentral:lncRNA from 1 species
AGGAAGUGCUGUUGCAACCUCGCUGCCACGUCUGUCGGAUCCUCUGCAGCAGCAGCAGCAGCAGCAGCGGCGGCGGGUAUGAGGAGCGGGAUGGGCCGGUGCCGGGCGGUGGUGGGGGGGUGAUGCGAGGGAGAGGUGGGCGUGCCCGAGGAAGGAAAGAGGAAACACGUAGAGCCACAACACAACACUCCCUCGGCUGAAAGAAGCAGCUUGAAGGAGCGACCGCUGCCUCCUGCAGGAUCCGCUCUAUUGUUCACACAGAGCGGCCUGGUUCUGCAGGUUUCCCCCGGGUUCUGGAGGAGGGGGUCCCCCAUGCUAAACUCGGGGACAAUGGAGGAAUUUGUGACCGAAGAGGAAGAGCCAUGGUACGACCAACAGGACCUGGAGCAGGGGUGGUGGUCGGCAGCCUGUCCAGCGUCUCCACGUGGAGCCCUCUGCAGCUGAUGAUGACAGAAAACAUCAGCUCGGACGUCCUGAUUCCUCUGAACCCUGCAGACUCUCAGACAGAUCGUGUGUAUGUGACGUCACGCUUACGUCCCAACCCGUAAGUCAGCCAUGUUGGAUGAUAUACACAACCAAGACUGCGGCCGUUCACGUGGGAGUUGCUGCAACGCUUCAUAAUUCUAAUAAUAAUGUAUGAUUGUGGUCAUAACGCUACUCGUGACCCAGAGAAACGCUUCUUUAGAUUUCCUACAAUCAUCCAAAACAACGAUCCACAAAAGAGGGAUGAGUUGCUGUCUACCCAACGCCGUCAGCUGGUUUAGCAACAUAACUCGUGAGGAUUCAACAGAAGAAGAAGCACAGUUCACCCGUGUGUGUGGCGUCCACUUUAUAUCCGGAGAAGCGGCAAAGCUUUAUGAUAAAACAAACCCAGAUUGGGCGCCAACACAAAAAUGA